AUGGGGUCGGGUCCUAUCAGCUUGAUGGCGGGGUAACGGCCCACCAUGGCUUCGACGGGUAGCCGGCCUGAGAGGGCGACCGGCCACAUUGGGACUGAGAUACGGCCCAGACUCCUACGGGAGGCAGCAGUGGGGAAUAUUGCACAAUGGGCGCAAGCCUGAUGCAGCGACGCCGCGUGCGGGG
rnacentral:rRNA from 1 species